UACGAAGGCUCCAAGCGUUGUCCGGAUUUAUUGGGCGUAAAGGGUCUCCAGGUGGUUUUGCUAGUCGGGCGUUAAAUCUCCGGGCCCAACUCGGAGGCCGCGUUCGAAACGGCAAAACUAGAGGUAGGGAGAGGCCAACGGAACGGUGGGUGUAGGGGUGAAAUCCGUUGAUAUCCACCGGAACACCAGAGGCGAAGGCGGUUGGCUGGCCCUAUCCUGACGCUCAUGAGACGAAAGCGUGGGGAGCGAAUGGG
rnacentral:rRNA from 1 species